rnacentral:lncRNA from 1 species
CAGGCCGUGUGCUCUGCCCAGCGGGCUGGCUCAGGCCUCGGUCAGCAGCCGCCACCGCGGGGCCAAUCCGGCCUCAGGGACGCACCGGAGCCGCCUUUCCGGGCCUCAGGCGGAUUCUCCGGCGCGGCCCGCCCCGCCCCUCGGACUCCCCGGGCCGCCCCCGGCCCCCAUUCGGGCCGGGCCUCGCUGCGGCGGCGACUGAGCCAGGCUGGGCCGCGUCCCUGAGUCCCAGAGUCGGCGCGGCGCGCAGGGGCAGCCUUCCACCACGGGGAGCCCAGCUGUCAGCCGCCUCACAGGAAG